rnacentral:rRNA from 1 species
GACGAACGCUGGCGGCGUGCUUAACACAUGCAAGUCGAACGAGUGGGAACGGGUGAGUAACACGUGGGUAACCUCCCAUCAGAGGGGAUAACACUUGGAAACAGGUGCUAAACCGAUACUGAUGGAUGGACCCGCGGUGCAUUAGCUAGUUGGUGAGGUAACGGCUCACCAAGGCCACGAUGCAUAGCCGACCUGAGAGGGUGAUCGGCCACACUGGGACUGAGACACGGCCCAGACUCCUACGGGAGGCAGCAGUAGGGAAUCUUCCGCAAUGGGCGCAAGCCUGACAGAGCAACGCCGCGUGAGUGAAGAAGGUUUUCGGAUCGUAAAGCUCUGUUGUAAGAGAAGCGGUAUCUUACCAGAAAGCCACGGCUAACUACGUGCCAGCAGCCGCGGUAAUUC